AGUGGCGCACGGGUGCGUAACGCGUGGGAACCUGCCGUAGAGUGGGGAACAACUUUUGGAAACGAAAGCUAAUACCGCAUACGCCCUCCGGGGGAAAGGCUUCGGCCGCUCUUUGAUGAUCCCGCGUCUGAUUAGCUUGUUGGUAAGGUAAUGGCUUACCAAGGCGACGAUCAGUAGCUGGUCUGAGAGGAUGAUCAGCCACACUGGGACUGAGACACGGCCCAGACUCCUACGGGAGGCAGCAGUGGGGAAUAUUGGACAAUGGGGGAAACCCUGAUCCAGCAAUGCCGCGUGAGUGAAGAAGGCCUUAGGGUUGUAAAACUCUUUCGCCGGUGAAGAUGAUGACUGUAGCCGGUAAAGAAGCCCCGGCUAACUCCGUGCCAGCAGCCGCGGUAAUACGGAGGGGGCUAGCGUUGUUCGGAUUUACUGGGCGUAAAGCGCACGUAGGCGGCAUAUUAAGUUAGAGGUGAAAGGCCUGGGCUCAACCUAGGAACUGCCUUUAAUACUGGUAUGCUUGAGUUCGGAAGAGGGUAGUGGAAUUCCAAGUGUAGAGGUGAAAUUCGUAGAUAUUUGGAAGAACACCGGUGGCGAAGGCGGCUACCUGGUCCGAUACUGACGCUGAGGUGCGAAAGCGUGGGGAGCGAACAGGAUUAGAUACCCUGGUAGUCCACGCCGA
rnacentral:rRNA from 1 species